rnacentral:lncRNA from 1 species
AUUUUCAAUCGGUACAUUGUAAGGCUUAAUUGUCCAUUUUUCGGUAUAAGGUUUACAACUUGAAUUAACUAAUUAAUUGGAUAUAAGAUUAAUUGAAUUAUUAAAAGUUGGGAGUUUUAUGAAAUUAAAUUGCAAUUUGUGAGUAAAUCCCAAAUUUAAUGACUUAAUGAAUUAAUCGAGUGUCAAGUGGAUUAAAUUGAAUAUUAUAAAAUGUAGUUCAUGAAUAUUAGUUAUAAUAUCGACUUUGAAAUAUGAAGUUUUGCUAAUAAUUAUAUACGUUAAUUUUUGGAAUUUAAUAAGUAUAAAUUGGAGAAAUUAUAAUGUAAGGUAUAGAUAAAUAAAAUUCAUGAUAUUAUGGAAAUUAAAAACUUAUUGGUGAUAGAAUUAUCAAGUGCCUAUGUAUGGUGAAUGACUAAUAAGUGAUGUUUAUGGUGGACGGGAUCGGUUAAUGUGAGUUGCCCGAUGGAUGGGCCGUGUGUUGACAUGUGAGAAAUAUAAAAUUGAGUAGUAUAGUUUAUAAGGGAAAUGCCGUCGAAAUUUCGGUAAAACACUUAAGAAAACUCUUAAAAGAUAGUACGAUUAAAAUUAUUAUCGUUAUUAAUAUUAUGUUGUCACCCGUAUUAUUAUUAUUAUUAGUAUUAUUAUGACUAUCAGUAUUUAUAAGAACAUUACUUAACGAAUGACCAAACGUUUUAUAUAAAACUAAUAACUUUGAAAUAAAUAUAUAAAUGAGGAAAACCCAACAUAUAUGCACAUAUAAUAAAUGAAUUAAAUGGCUGGUAACCAAAACUAAUAAAAGAAUGUGAAAUAUAAGUUUUCGAAUUAAAAUUUUUAUUUAGAAUUUUCUUGUUUAUUUUAAAGGUUUAUAAAAUACCAAAAUGCGAGGACAAAAGCUGGAAGCAUGUGGCUAAAAAGGCAGUCCUUUUAAAGGACAAUAAAGAACUGUGAGUAGUGUUAGAUAACUAGUAUCAUCCGCCUGCAUUCAUGCAUUCACGGCUAAAUGCUAUCAUGCAUUAAUUUGUUGAAUUGCCAUAUUGUGCUGCACUAAUUGUUGAUAUUAAAUAAAUUAUGUGAUUACUUGUGCUGUGUAUAUACUGUGCCUUGUUUGUGUGGAAUUGGGAUGAAGUGGGUCACCAUGGGUUUGUGAGA